rnacentral:tRNA from 1 species
ACCUACUUAGUUUAACAAAAACAUCAGACUGUGAUUCUGUCAAUAGGGGCUAAGCCCCUUUUAGGUG